rnacentral:lncRNA from 10 species
GCACUGCCCCGCGGGCUCCAGAGCUGCGAACGCCCCAGAGUGUGCAGGGAGGCCUGCAGAAAGAAAAUGCGGCUGAGGGUCCCCGUGGGACCCACUCAGAGGUGGGCCGUAAAGAUCCCGGAAGGGUGGAUGGCAUUAGAUACCACCUAGUACUCCAGCAAGGGCUGGGUCACCGAAUUGGGAUCUCGGCCUCUUCUUCCAGUCUGGGGAAAAGUGUGUUAAAUGCUAAACAUCAGUGUUUAUCGAGUGAGGCCCAGCCUGUCUGGCAUAAUGAUUUUUAAAAUCUACAUUCAAAUAUUAAAUAAAAACUCAACCUCCCCAAUAACAUUUGAACAUAAAUAUUAGUGUGCGCUCUCUAGGUUAGGGAAACUGAAGCUGGGAGUGUGGGUAAGGAUGCCCAGCACUUAGGAGCCACAGGGUAAGUAAUGUUUGUCCAAAACUCGGGUCCCUCCUGUACUUUCCAUUCUGUCUGUUCAUUCAUCCAGUUUAGAUAUGAAUUGGUACCAACGUGUGCCAGGUUCUGCGCUAGUGACUGACAGUGUUGGCACAGGGAGGCAGCCAUGCUCCCGAGUCCUGGGAGUGGGCAGCACUGCCCUGUGGGUCUGCACUGGCUUCCAAAUGUCUAAGUGGGCACUGUUACUCACUGUGACAGCAUCCCCAGGCUUUCUUACCUGGUAAAGCAGAAACUCAAACAUACUUACACACCAAUAUUCAUUGCAGCAUUAUUUAUGAUGGCCAAAAGAUGGAAGCAACUCCAGUGGAUGAAUGCAUACAGUUACUAUUACAGCAGGGAAGACAGACAUUGGAAAAUAAUGCCCCGUGAACGGACAGUCACGAAAGACAGGAACCAUGGGAGCAGAAGCGAGGAAUGAAGGAGCUGAGCCCGAGGGAGGAAGGGAGAUAUUCAGGAGCAUUUUAAGGCAAGAUGGAUGAGAAAGCUAGAGGAUGAAUUGGCCAAGCAAAAACUAGCAAAACCCGGGUGUUGCGGGAGGAUGAACAUUUUAGAAAAAGGGACCAGCAUGUUGAAAUCCAAAAGGAGCAUGGCUGUCUUGAAGGAUGGGGAAAAGUCUAGACAGCUGGAGCAGAGCAAAGGGAAGAGCCAGGGGACUUGGAGGUAGGCAGGCCAGAGCUCAGGGCCCUGGAGACUUUGGUGAGAAUUUCCGUCUUUUAUCUUAAGCCAGCAAAGAACUGUAAGUACAAAAGUGAUGUGAUUGGAUGUGUGUUGGUAAAAAGUCCUUCUCGGCUGCUGAGUGCAAAUGGACUGGAGGAGUCAAAAGCAGGCCCUGGAAGUAUGUGUGCCAAAUAACUAAAAGCAGAGACAGACUCAAACAGAUACUUAUGCACCAAUAUUCCUUGCAGCAUUAUUUAGAAGAGCUGACAGAUGGAAGAACCUCAGUGGAUGAAUGGAUAAACAAUAUAUGGCAUGUGGCCGGCUGCAGUGGCUGGUGCCUGUAAUCCCAGCACUUUGGGAGGCCGAGGUGGGUGGAUCACCUGAGGUCAGGAGUUCAAGACCAGCCUGACCCACACGGUGAAACCCCAUCUCUACUAAAAAUACAAUAUUAGCCAGGUAUGGCGGCACACGCUUGUAGUCCCACCUACUCGGGAGGCUGAGGCAGGAGUAUUGCUUGAACCCGGGAGGCAGAGGCUGCAGUGAGCCAAGGUUGCACCACUGCACUCCAGCCUGGGCAAGACAGAGCGAGACUCCGUCUCAAAAAAGAAAAGUGGGUCUGGGGAGAUGGCCGUGGUGAGGGAGAGAGUGCAGUCAGGGGUUUAUGGCUGUGCUUGGGCUGAUGUGCUCGCUGUACACCCAGAAAGAAGAGGAGAAGCGGCCACAAUGGAAGGAUGUUUAGAAGGCAGAUGGACAGCACAAUGCGACCGGGCAGUCGUGGGCUAUGAGAGGGUCUGAAGGACGUCUCCCUGGCUUCCCUCUGUUUUGUCCCUUAGCCCCUCACUGUUAAAUCAGAAGAUUUUGGUCCUAAUCUGAUCUCUUUAAGAAUUUUGGAAUCUUGCGAGAAAACUGAAUUGCUCAGUUAUCUUUCUCUCUGGACCCCACACUUUUCUAAGAGCUUUGUAGGUCAAAUACCUUAACUCUGAGGCACUAUAACAACUCAUAGGACGGAAAAGUGGGAAAAGGAAUAUAUGUUUCAAAGAGGGAUGAACAGUGUAAAAUCAAUCUGGGGUCUGGAGAGAAAUAAUCUUUUCCACCGAGGCAGUUUUCCUUAAAUGCUUUCUACUAUGAUGGAAUUUGAAUAAUAAAAACAGUCAUAGCCACUUGGUAUUUCAACACAGUUAUGGGAGCUGGAAUUAAAGUGAAUGAUGACUGGUGUGCCAAAUAAUAAAGUGUUUCCAAAAUAUUAAUACUCACAACAACCCUUUGAGAUAGGUACUAACUAGGCUAACUACGUCAUUUACUUGCCCAGUGCAAAACGAAAAUGUGGGGCCCCUCGUUCAAGGAUUAUUAAGAAUUCCAGGAUGAUAAUAGCAGAGCAUUAAACCAAGCAUAGUUUAAUGCUUUGAACACAGGGCCCUGAGUGAUUGCUCAGGUCAUAUGAAGCUGGCCCAGGUACAACAGGAAUCUUCAUUUCUCAGAUGGGGAGACUGAGGGCACAGAGUCAUACUGACCGUCCGAACCAAGACUUGAAGCCCUCUUAUACUGCAAAGGCACAGCAAUUAGGUGGAGGUAAAAUAAAGGGUUCUUUUCUAAGUGAUGGCACCAUUGGGCAAUCUUGUUCCUUCUUGUACUAGUUUGAAAAGUGCCUCUGUAGUCACAGCAUUCAGUCCAUGUGUGCAAGAGGCAACCUUUACAGGACAUUGUAAAUUACACGUCUUACUUUCUGUCUCUUUGUUUUCUUUUAAAGCAAUUCCUGCACCUUCUUUUCAGCUCCAUGUUACAUCUCUAUUUUCCUUCUUCCUUGAGAUCCUAGCUACUUGUCUCUCACCCUCUGCCAUAUCCAAGCCUAUUUAUUUUUUCUUUAGGUGGAGUCUUGCUCUGUUGCCCAAGCUGGAGUGCAGUGGCACGAUCUUGGCUCACUGAUAUCUCCGCCUCCUGGGUUCAAGUGAUUCUCCUGACUUAGCCUCCCAAGUAGCUGGGAUGACAGGUGUGCACCACCACACCCAGCAAAUUUUUUUUCUUCUUCUUCUUUUUCUUUUGUAUUUUUAGUAGCGACAGGGUUUCACCUUGUUGGCUGGGCCGGUCUUGAACUCCUGACCUCAGGUGAUCCACCCACCUCGGCCUCCCAUAGUGCCGUGAUUACAGGCUUGAGCCACCAGGCCCAGCCACCAAGCCUAUUAUGGGAGAUGUUUAUGUGCUUCACACUCAGACUGCAACCCUGAGCCAUGUCCUCUCACCUGGGCCAUUGAGGUAAGGUUUUUGGCUUCCAACAAAUGGGCUGUAGCCCUUCUGAGAAGACAUAAGCUGCCAUUUGGAAACCUCAAAGAAACCAACCUUUCAGCUCAGGAGAGAGAGGCCCAAUGUCGUCUGGAGCUUAAAAGGCUUUUUUUUAGAAAGCAACAAAUGGUAGUUUGUUUCUAGAGCUGGCACCACAGAGCCGCAUCAAUAGCAAGGAGCCUGCUUGGUCAGAACUGCAAAAGCCACAGUGCACUAGAAAAGUUGUGUGGGAAGGUGUGGCCCCAAAGCCUGCAGAAGGAGGUUUUUGUUUUGUUUUGUUUUUUGAGAUGGAGUCUCGCUCUGUCACCCAGGCUGGAGUGCAGUGGUGCGAUCUCGGCUCACUGCAACCUCCACCUUCUGGGUUCAAGUGAUUCUCUUGCCUCAGCCUCCUUAGUAGCUGGGGUUACAGGCAUGUGCCACCAUGCCCAGCUAAUUUUUAUAUUUUUAGUAGAGAUACGGUUUCACCAUGUUGGUCAGGCUGGUCUCUAACUCCUGACCUCCUGAUCUGCCCGCCUCGGCCUCCCAAAGUCUGGGAUUACAGGCAUGAGCUACUGUGCCCGGCCAGAAGGAGGUCUUUAAGAAUAUGUGCACAGCAGUCAACUGAUGUCUGUACUGACAGCCCAUCCGAGGUCAAAGGCAUCUCAUCCAAUAGUGUCAACCUAUAUUCAAAUAGCCACUCAGGAGACCUCAGGUCAAGUCCCAGCUCUGCCACUGAGACAGAGGAACCCACAGAGGCACUUGACUCGCCUGUCUCUCACUUUUUCACAUUUGCAAAAUGAAAAAAAUGAAUGCUAAAAUCCAUUUUGACUCUAAAAACCCAUAACCUAUUUAAAAUAGAUGUAGGAUUUCAAAAAAAUCAGGCUAAAUCUAUACUGAUUCUUUUCAUUCCUGAGUGUUUUCUUAAUUAUGUAUUCUCACCUUUUGCAUAUGCUAUCAGUUUAUAUGUGAAUCAUUGUCUUUGUAAAAGAAGAAUGCAGCACGUGCAAACUCUUGGAAGUUUUUGAAGCGUUGUGAAGGACUGAAUUCAGAUCCAUGGGAAAUUUUCAAGGCCGAGUGCAGUGGGUAUCAGGCCUGUAAUCCCAGCACUUUUAGGCCAAGGCGGGAGGAUCACUUGAGGUCAGGAGUUCAAGACCAGACUGGCCGACAUUGGGAAACCCCAUCUGUACAAAAAAAUACAAAAAUUAAAAUUAGCCAGGCAUAGUUGCAUGCACCUGUAGUUCCAGCUACUUGGGAGGCUGAGGAAGGAGAAUCGCUUGAACCUGGGAGGUGGAGAUUGCAGUGAGCUGAGAUCGUGUCAUUGUACUCCAGCCUGGGUGACAGGGCAAGACUCAGUCUCCAAAAAAAAAAAAAGGGAAUUUUUCAGUGUGGGAAUUCCCAAGUGUUCUAAGUGGCACACUCAGUUUCUGGGGGACACCAUGGAUUUCAUCCUGGAGAAAGCAGGUGCCUUUUUCCCCAUCGAGGGAGGCAGGAAGGUGCUGCUUUCAACAGAAGGCCUGAGGUGCCAGUGAUCUGCUGCCUUCAGCAAAUGCUACAGGGAGCCGGGCCAGCCUGGGCUGUAGCUGGGAACAAAGGGCAGAAACCCCUACUCCCUCUCUCCACCCUCCUUACUGCUCUUCCCUUCCUUCCGGGCACCAGGCACUCUUCCAACCUAGUGCUCUGCCAUCAUUAAGGAAAGUGUGCUAAAGGAAGGAAACUCCCUAGAACGUUGGAAAGCAGCAGCUCUGGUUCUGCUAAACCAAGCUUGCCUGGUCACGCUUUAGGGCAGUCGUUAUUGGUGUGGGCUCUGUGGUCAGAGCUCAAAGAUGCAAAUCCCAUCUCUGCCAUGACUGGUACUUGUGUUGUGGAUUGUGGUGGAGUUUAGAGCCUGAAGAGCCAGUCGGGACCAGGUGUGGUGGCUCAUGCCUGUAAUCCCAGCACUUUGGGAGGUCGAGGCAGGUGGAUCACCUG